UCUUCCUGGAUGAAUAGGAAACAUUUCAGUAUGGGAAUUUCAUCUAUAAAUGUGUAUACCGCCACCCACGAGAAGAGGUUGUCUCAUUCUCAAGGCAUGUUUUGCAGUCAUCUCCUAGAGCAGGACUCCAGAAACUGAUCAACUCCUGCUAUCUUAGCAACUGUUUCGGGAUACUUUCUGCUUUGGCAACAUCACACAUUUGAUGGUCUCCCUGUAGAAAUACAGUGAAUAUAGUUCUGUGCUGGAAGGCUUUGGUUUGGAAAGCCCUAGUCUGAGUGGAGGAAAUGGCACUGGAACAAGAGCAUCAUGGUGCUGGGAUGGUGCCAUGGCCUGUUCUCUGGCAUUGAUUAUUUAUGUGGUGGGACAGAUGGAGGACCUCUUUCUAGCAUGUGUGUCUCUUUAUGCUGGCUUUGCUCAAUGAAAGCUAUGUAGUGCCAGCACUCAAGUGGGUUAAGAAGUUUUAUUUAGAUGAUUCAUUUAUACAGGUAUAUAUCCACGUACACAGUCAAAAACAUUUAUUGAAUAUCUGCAAUGUGUGGGACUCCAUGUGCCAGAGAUGUAAUAGCAAAUAAGUUAGAAAAAUCCUCAUGGAUUACAUAUUGAUAGAUGGAAUGGGACAAUACACAAAACAAAAAUAGAUAUGAUUUUAGAAAAUGGCUAUGAGAAAAAAAAAAAAGGUACAAGAAGAAGGAAUGGCUAGUGUCAGAAGGAAGUAAGGAGUUUGUAAUUUUAAACAACAGGGUCAGGGAAGACCUCACUGAGAAGGUGACAUUUGAGGGAAAUAAGCAUUGCUGUUUCCUGCAGGGAAAUAGAAAUGAACUUGGAAUUGGAAAGCCCAUACUCAACUCUUGUUAUGAACUGAGUAACUUCCUCCCCCCCCACCCAAUGCAUAUGUUGAGGUCCUAAAUUUCAGUACUUUAGAAUAUGACCAUAUUUGGAAGUAAGGUCUUUAAGGAGUAAUUAAGUUAAAAUGAAGUCAUCAGUGUGGACCCUAAAAACUGAUACCAUAGGAAGAAGAAGAGAUACUAGGGACAUGCCUAUGUGGAGGAAAGACCUCUUGAGUUCACAGGGAGAAGGCAGAAGGCUUAGAGAAAACCAAACAAGCUGACACUUUGGUUUUGAGCUUGCAACCUCCAGAGCUGUUGUUUAUGCCACCCAGUCUGUGGUAUUCUGUCACGGCAGUUCAAGCUAAGACCACUCUGAAUUGUUACACUUCCCAGACUGCCUUCUUGACUUCUUCGCUUGGAAGUUUGACCUCUCAAACCUAACAUGUCCAAAAAUGAGCCCUUCUUCUCUGCCCUCAUCAAUCUUACUCCAUUCACAGACCUUCCCACCUCCAUAGAUUUCAGCUCCAACCUUCUAGUUUCUCAGACCAAAAACCUUACAGUCAUCCACCCUCUACUCUUCGUGUCAAACCCUAAAUCCAGUAUGCUGGGAAAUCCUGUUGGUUCUACCUUCAAAGCAUGUCCAGAUCUAGUUACAACUCCCCACUUCUACUGGUACCAUUCUGUUCAAGUCACCAACAUAUCUGACCUGAAUUUCUGCAGGAGAAUCCUAAUGGGUCUCCCAGUCUCUACCCUCUGCUUCACAUGGUCUACUUUUGCAGUGUUCAGUGCUUUCUAGCUCACAUAUAUCUUCCCCAUGCAGACAGUAUCCAAUCAAAACACACUUGAAGCCUUGGUUUUUGUUUUUGUUUUUGUUUUUGUUUUUUCCACUGUAAAACUUUACCACUCCUCUGCCUACCUUGAGUUUUGGGCAAGUUCAAGUGAUGGGAGCUAACCCCUUUGCAAUAGCAAACUCUGAAUAAAGAAAGAAUCUUGGCUUGUUCCCAUCUGGGUGGCCUUCAUUUAUUUCCACCCAAGUCAUGUUUAAAACAUAUCUUAAUGACACAGACUGGUUUUACGGACCUCACUGAAUAUCUUUUAACUUUAUCUUCAUUCAGUAAAGUGCUUAUUUUGAAGAUUGUUUCUGGAUUGAAAUAGGAAGAACAUUAAGCAUGGAUAACUAAGCAAUUAUGGGACUAGAUGGAAUUGUUUGAGCCUUUCUUGUGCUGUUCCCUACCAUAGGGUCAUAUUUAAACCAUCUCCCUCAUUCUCUAAAAAAUGUGAGUUGUACCCAAGCUCUUUAACCAUUUCAGCAUUUCAUUCACUCCGAGGACCGUCUCUUUCUUUUCUAUGCAUAACAAUUUCCAUUUUAUUGCAGUUCAAGUUUACGUAUAUUUGUUCUCUCAAAAGAGAUGGAAAUCAGCAUGUUCUAUGUUAUCAGCCUGUUAAACACUUGACACACCACUAAACUGGACUUUGUUAUAUUUUCAAUCCUGGAAAAUAUUUUUUAUUUUUCUAUGUAAUUAUUAUUUUAUAGUACAGCAUUCCCAAAAAACCUGUUUUGAGUCAUUGCUACGUAUGAUUUUAUCUACCUAUCCACAUGAAGCAUCCCGUGGUUAAGUAGAAUGCCAAGUUGAAGUAGAAUGGCAGAACUUCUCAGAGCCUAAUAUACUAAAUAUGCAGAAUGAAUUUUUAAGUGGAGAUAUUUAUAUAAUACUGAAGGAUUCUUUCUCUAAUUGAGUAUCUUCAACUUAGUGUUACAUGUGCCCUAAUCUUUCCAUAUUGUCAUGACUCUGGCAAACUUUUCCAGGUUCGCACUCAACAAGCCUUAUCCCAGGAUGGCAUUUGCCUUGUUAGUUUGUUAGUGAAAAGAUGAGGGCAGAAAUCAGCCCAUUUUCUUGUAAAAUAGCAAUACAAUACUUUGCAAGUAAUUAUGUGUUGAUUUGAACAUUUUUGUGGUCUUGUAUAAAAUUAAUCACUUUUAUCUUGUAAAUCUUUAAAAAUAUACUACAUCUUGGUUAGGAGUAGAGGAGAAAAAUAUAAGUGUUUAAAAUAACUGCUGACAUAACUUUUGUAUUCCAUUUUCCUGCUAAGUAAGACUUGUUAUUUUAACACAUUCUAAUUAGUGCCAAGUCAAGAUGUCACUGUGCACAGAAAUGUUUAAUAUUAUAGAACUCUUUAAUAAAAUUUUGAUCUAAUCAAUUUUGCUGCUACAAUUCUUGCAUAAUUCUUACUUAUUUGAGAUGUACUUUGUUAGUUUCUCAAACUUUUUCUCUACCUUUCCUCUUUUUUCAUCUGGAAUUUUAUCCUUCAUUCUUUUUACGUCCUUAUCUUUCUUCCUAGUUAAUUGGAAUUUAAAGUAUGAUUCUCAUUCUAAAUACAUGAUGUGUUUUUGUGUAUAUUUUCAAAUUAGUAAGUCUAUGAUUAAGAUGGGUCAUAUUUCAAGUAAAAAUACAAUCCAGUUUAUGGAAAAUAAUAAUCUCUUAUUUUUGUGUAGUACUUGAUAAUUUUUAAAGUGUAUUCAUAAGUAUUACUCCACUGAGAUGUAAUAACUGAUGUUAGAACUUCAAGCUCAGGGUCAAGGCAGAACUGGGUUUGAAUCCAAGACCACCACUUACUGACUCUGGGUAAGUUAGUGAAAUUUUCUGCACAUCAGCUUACUCGUCUGUAAAAUGGAUUUGAUAAAAUACUACUUCAAAGAGUUGGCAUAGGAUUUCCCAUCGUGGUUCAGUGAUUAACGAAUCUGACUAGGAACCAUGAGGUUGCAGUUCAAUCCCUGGCCUUGCUCAGUGGGUUAAGGAUCUGGUGUUGCCAUGAGCUGUGGUGUAGGCUGCAGACGCUGCUCAGAUCUGGCAUUGCUGUGGCUCUGGUGUAGGUCGGCAACAGCUCCAAUUAGACCCCUAGCCUGGGAAUUUCCAUAUGCCACUGGUGCAGCCCUAAAAGGACAAAAGACAAAAGAAAAAAAAAUCAGAACAAUUAGUUGCUUAUAAGAUAUUAUAUAAAUAUUUGGAGUUCCUUCACCAAAAUAUUUGGGGUCACUGCAGCUGUUACCUGUAUGUACUCAACAUUUAUUUCUUCUUCUGAAAGCAGGCUCUUGUCUUCUAUUUGGGAUCUAGAGCUCCCCUUCCAGUCACCAUUAUAUUGUCCUGUCCUCCAAUGGAACAGGAGUAGAAGAGUGUCUGUGUGACUGUAUUUGGCCAAACUCUGUCUCUCUGAAUCUUGAAAAUGAUGCAGAUAAUGAAAUCAGCUGGCUUGUAUUUAUCCUGAUCUGGCCCCUGUGGGCUCCUGGGCACACAAGCAUUUCUGUGUCCCCCAUUUCUUGUUUUUUAGGGAAUGAACUGCAGCUUCCAUGACCUUCCCUGAGUUCCAAAGGGCACGUUCAAACUGUUGCUAAUCUGGGAAGGGAGGGUUUUGCAGAGACCUGAGAGGAGCAGUCAAGACACAAUAGUGCAGCUUUGGGGCCAGGUCCUGGUCCUUCCUCAAAGAAUAUAUAUAACAAUAUCUUUGACUUCUUCUGCAGAACUAAAGCCCCCCCAAAAUGGAAGAUAUUAAUGAAGCAUUCUUUAUUCCAGAAAGAAGACCUCCAGACAACUGAACACCAGCUUUGGAAAAAAUGCAAGCUUGCCUCUCCACUGAUCCUCUGCUGUGGUCCUAUUUUUCACUCCCAAAAUUAUAAAACCGCUUUCCAAUUUCUCCUAAGGGGGGACAGAGUCUUUGAGGCAUUAGCCAGCUGUGAUCCUCCUUUGCCUGGCAAAACAAUAAAGCUAUUUUUUUUCUUCUUUGCCCAAAACUGUCUCCACCUUUCUAUUUGGCACCAGUGAGCAGAGGCCAAGUUCCAACAAUACUUUCUCUCUCUCUUUUUCUCUCUCUUUUUGAAGCCUGUGUCUUUAGUUCUAUCCUUGAUUGUGAUGAUUAU
rnacentral:lncRNA from 1 species